AACGCUACGCGUACUAGUAGCUGUACAAGAAUGUAACAACUCUUGUAUAUAGCUCAAAAAAAAAAAAGUUACCGUCAGAAACAAAGAAAACGACCGAAGGGGAGAACGGGGAGAACACGACCUGACUGUGAUACACCCAGUCAGAUCACCCGGAAACUCUCCGGUCUCGUCACCCCUAAAUCAACACAACUCUCCGGUCUUUGAUUAUCAAACUCUGCAGCUGGAUGUGACAAGGAUAAUUCACCCUGUGGUCUCUGUUGGGCUCUCUACAGAUUUUCAGGGUAUAUUUCUGGCACGUAAACUAUGCAGAGGAAGGUGGUCUCGGCUUAAUGGAACUUCAGCACCUUCCCUCCUAAUUUCUCUGUUGAAACUUCAAAUUCACCAAAGACUACCUCAACUACCAAUUGGCAUAAAUAAUAAUAACAGACAUAAUUCCAAGACUGUACGUGGAGCAACAUUUCAACUCCUGCACUCUGCAAUGCCUCCAGUGGGAAAUCUGAUGACAAAGGUCUUUUGCAUCAACAAAGGGUGUCCUAAAUGGCAUUGGACUUUCCCAGUGCUUCAGAAAAAGUGUUUAACACUAUCGCACUCUGAGCCCUCCUAUUAUCGUCAUAAGUUUUUCUCCUUAAUGUAAUCCGAUGACUAUCUCACUCGUCAUAAACUAAAAUAUUUGUAAAAAGUUAAAUUUUCAUCCGAUCAACUUCUAGGUGGUUUCAAAAUGAGCGCCUUUAGAUUGCACACAAUUUGAUACCAAAAUGAAAGACGUAGCACGAAAAUUAUGUUAUCAAACUGAACGAGUAUAUACAUUAGUCUGCAGGUGUGCCAAUUGGUGUUCGUUCACGGGUAACUUGGCCGACUUUAGGCUUUGCUGUGGGACUCGCUCCGGGCUUUUAGAUCUUAUAUGCAUAUACCCCUAUAGAGAAUUCUAUUGUGAACACAAUGAUACCAAAAUGAAUGAUGUAGCACGAGAAAUAAAGGCGAGAAAACUGAAGAGAGUAUAUACAUUUUACUGAUUUUGCGCGCUGACAAGUAACUUGGCUGACUUUAGGCUUUAUAACACACAGAAAUCACACUAACGUGAUGCAUCAAAUGAAC